UGUACAGUAAUAUAAUAAAUGUAUUUUAUAUAUAAUAAUGAUUUAAAGUACUUGUUUAAAAUUCUCUAUUGCUGAGUGAUAAACACAUGCUUCGUAACUUCUCUGGUUCUGUUUUAUUCAUUAUAAUCCUCAAAAACCCUGAAAGAAACAGAAUAACCUUUUUAUUGACCCACUCAAGUUAUUUAAUUUUUAUGUUUCCCUAGCCCAUAUCUGUUCACGUAUAGCUGAAAAUAAAAAAGAAACGGUGGAUUGAAAUUGAAGGGAAAUAGACAAUAGUUAUUGUUCCUAGCUUAAUUGGGAGAGAAAGCCAGAGUAAAAUAAGAGUCUAUUGCAGCUAAGAGGAAGAAGUUCUUUAGUCUCAACCAAAUAUGUAAAUAUAACAUCUCUCUUCUAAUAUUUUUAGUGCUAAUUCCUAGUAUAGAGCUGAUUAAGGGUGGGGGAAGCACAUAUUUAAUGGCCAUUAUUAUGCUAUUCUGAGGAAAAUUCUCUCAGUGUCUAAUAUUUUAAAAAUGGGUUUUAAUUAGAUCUUAUCAGCAACCCUAAAAUGCAACUUUUCUCACCCUCCAGAAAACAAAACAAAACAAAACAAAACUCACACCAUCCCCAAAACUAGGCUUGAUGAAUAACCACAUGGAAAAUAUGGAAAGAUGUUUCAUUAACCACACGGCAGAUGGAACUAGGUGGGAGGAAAACCUACCACAGCUUCUCUUAAUGGCAUAUUCAGGCUUUACUUCAGAAAAGGGAAGCAUCUAAAAAAGAUUGGAAGAAUUUCUCACCACUCUGCAGGCAGCUGUCUCCUCCCAGCACCCAGGACCUGAACUCAGAAACUACCAGCAACACAGACGUGAGUCAUUCUUGCUGCUAUGCAGUUACCCUUAGUGCUGUCCACCCCUCGUCCCAUCCCUCUUUUAAUCUAUAUUCAUUCAGAGAAAGGAGCUUAAAAAGCAAGCAAAGAAAAAUCACCUGUGCGGAAAGUAGAAGAAACUGCUGCUGGCUCAUCGCAUUUUAGGAAAAACAAUGCGCACGAGUAAAGCAGUCUUAGUAAGAGAAGAGUAGGAAAGAAACACGCUUAGCAGCAUGUUAGAAACUAGUUUCUCGUGCCCUCCUUGGACUCAGAAUACAAUACCAGAGAACAAUCAGAUAAGGCAGGAAAAGUUAGAAGUUUGGGGAAAUAGAGCUUCCGUAGGCAACUGUGAGGAAUCAGGAACAGGCUGGGAGCAGGCACUGCCCACCUGUCCUACCCCGAGAGCACCAGGAUAGGACUCCACACAGGAGGACCGGACCUCGAUGAUGAGCUCACCCUCGCUCUUAACAAGCACUGGCUCUCUACAGAUGUCACUUCCUUUAAGGAUGAGUAAAUAAGGGAGGAAAAACUCUAUGGGGCGGGGCGGGGUCUGGGAGGUAGUUUUUUGUAAAGCUACAGAAAAUAGGAAAGAGACUUCAUCUCAAUGAUUUAGAAGACUUUAGAAGACUCUAAAAAUAAUCUACAGGAGGACCCAAGAGAUCCAACACGCUGGACUCCUCUAUAGGAUAUCAAAAGGAACUCCGGGUGAGGACGACAAGAGCUGAGCUCGGGUGCUUGCCUUCUGCACUCUCGGGAGGAGGCACCAGCAUGGGCACCCUUCACAGUUCGGGCCCCUCACUCACAAACGUCUGGCACAUGGAAACAAGCUGGCAAAAAGAUUGUUUUUUUCUUCUGUACUUUUUGUUAUAAGCCUGUGGUGAAGUGUCCAUAUCUGGCAUAAAUGAAUGUGAGUGGUCUUGGGAAUCUAAAUAUAACAUGUUUCUAAGUUACA
rnacentral:lncRNA from 1 species